AUUGAACGCUGGCGGCAGGCCUAACACAUGCAAGUCGAGCGGAUGAAGGGAGCUUGCUCCUGGAUUCAGCGGCGGACGGGUGAGUAAUGCCUAGGAAUCUGCCUGGUAGUGGGGGAUAACGCCCGGAAACGGGCGCUAAUACCGCAUACGUCCUGAGGGAGAAAGUGGGGGAUCUUCGGACCUCACGCUAUCAGAUGAGCCUAGGUCGGAUUAGCUAGUUGGUGGGGUAAAGGCCUACCAAGGCGACGAUCCGUAACUGGUCUGAGAGGAUGAUCAGUCACACUGGAACUGAGACACGGUCCAGACUCCUACGGGAGGCAGCAGUGGGGAAUAUUGGACAAUGGGCGAAAGCCUGAUCCAGCCAUGCCGCGUGUGUGAAGAAGGUCUUCGGAUUGUAAAGCACUUUAAGUUGGGAGGAAGGGCAGUAAGUUAAUACCUUGCUGUCUUGACGUUACCAACAGAAUAAGCACCGGCUAACUUCGUG
rnacentral:rRNA from 1 species